rfam:Penicillium italicum strain PHI-1 contig936, whole genome shotgun sequence.
ACAUACGACCAUAGGGUGUGGAAAAUAGGGCUUCCCGUCCGCUCAGCCGUACUCAAGCCACACGCCGGUGAGUUAGUAGUUGGGUGGGUGACCACCAGCGAAUCCUCACUGUUGUAUGUU